rnacentral:rRNA from 1 species
UACGUAGGGUGCGAGCGUUUAAUCGGAAUUACUGGGCGUAAAGCGUGCGCAGGCGGUUUUGUAAGUCUGACGUGAAAUCCCCGGGCUUAACCUGGGAAUUGCGUUGGAGACUGCAAGGCUGGAGUCUGGCAGAGGGGGGGUAGAAUUCCACGUGUGAGCAGUGAAAUGCGUAGAGAUGUGGAGGAACACCGAUGGCGAAGGCAGCCCCCUGGGUCAAGACUGACGCUCAUGUACGAAAGCGUGGGGAGCAAACAGG